UACGAAGGGGGCUAGCGUUGCUCGGAAUUACUGGGCGUAAAGCGCACGUAGGCGGAUUGUUAAGUCGGGGGUGAAAUCCUGGAGCUCAACUCCAGAACUGCCUUCGAUACUGGCGAUCUAGAGUCCGGGAGAGGUGAGUGGAACUGCGAGUGUAGAGGUGAAAUUCGUAGAUAUUCGCAAGAACACCAGUGGCGAAGGCGGCUCACUGGCCCGGUACUGACGCUGAGGUGCGAAAGCGUGGGGAGCAAACAGG
rnacentral:rRNA from 1 species